CCUACGGGAGGCUGCAGUGGGGAAUAUUGGUCAAUGGACGGAAGUCUGAACCAGCCAUGCCGCGUGCAGGAUGACGGAUCUAUGAGUUGUAAACUGCAUUUGUACGAGAAUAAUAGUUCUUACGUGAAGGGAAUUGAAUGGAUCGUUCGAAUACAGCUCGGCUAACUACGUGCCAGCAGCCGCCGUAAUACGGAGGAUUCGAGCGUUAUCCGGAUUUAUUGGGUGUAAAGGGUGCGUAGGCUGUCGUAUAAGUUAGAGGUCAAAUGUCGGGGCUUAACCCCGUGCCUGCCUGUGAUACUGUUCGACUGGAGAGCGGAUGAAGCAGGCGGAAGGAGUAGUGUAGCGGUGAAAUGCUUAGAUAUUAGUCAGAACACCGAUGGCGCAGGCAGCUUGCUAAUCCGCAUCUGACGCUGAUGCACGAAAGCGUGGGGAGCGAACAGGAUUAGAUACCCUAGUAGUC
rnacentral:rRNA from 1 species